GCCCUCGGUGGCUCAGAUGGAUAGAGCGUCUGCCAUGUAAGCAGGAGAUCCUGGGUUCGAGUCACAGUCGGGGCA
rnacentral:tRNA from 1 species